rnacentral:lncRNA from 1 species
UGGACAAAAAAAGUUGAUUAAUCAAAAAUCGAACCGAACCAGUCGGUUCGGUUUUUCGAUUUUUAAAACCGAACCGAGUAUCAAAUAAACCGAAUAAUAAUCCGGAAUCCCUAAACUAAACCUAAAGUGAGUAAACUGAUCUUCACUUCAGCCACUGAACUUGUGACCUUCAGCCCCUGAACUCGUCGCUGCUGCUGCCGCUGCUCGUGCUCGUCGUUGCUGCUACCGCUGCUCGUGCUCGUCGUUGCUGCUGCCGCUGCUCGUCGCUGCUGCUGCCGCUGCUGCUGCAGCCUGCCGCUGCUGCUCGUCGCCGAGUGAUCUCCACGAAGCUACAACUUGUGAGUUUGCUAUUACUUGGAUUUUAAUGGUUGGAUUUUAAUGGUUUCACAUGAUGAUGUGCUCAUGCCGAGAGUAAAAACAGUAAAACUUGAAACAGAGUUUAACGUUGUUGGACUUGUGAUAAAGACGGGAAAUCAGUGUGUUUUGGUUCCCAGACCCAAAGAGUAUCUAAUACAUGUCCUGAUUUUUGGGAUUCUACCAUAUGGGGUGCGUUCUUUCUCAGACUCUAAAAGAAUCAACCAAGAGUGAAAAAGACUGAAGAGUGGUGCUGAUAGUAUCCUAAAUGGUCCUUGAUUUUUAGAAGUUCUCAAAAAUAACUCACCACUGAAAGUGGUUGACUGGUUGCCGAUACUUAACACCAUGGAUGGUCAAAGAUAAGAUUAGUGCAGUAUAGGAACUGAAUACCGGGAAUAUACUGCAC